AAUUGAGUAGAUUCUUUUAGAAGGCCCUCAAUAACCAUAGAUGGAAUCUAUCCUAUCUUUACAGUGCGAUGGCUGACUAUUCAUGGACUAGCUGUAACCACUGUUUUUUUUUCUUGGGAUCAACAUCGGCAAUGCAGUUCAUCCAACGAUAAACCAAAUUCCAGUUAUAGGACUAUGACACAAUCAAAUCUGAAUGAACAAAAUGUUGUUCUAUAUAUAGUACUGUACAUUAUCUCAUAUUUGUAUGGUUGUUUAACUGACUAG
rnacentral:rRNA from 1 species